GAAGCCAUUCCUCACCACCAGGAGUGCAUGUAAAGGAGGGCUGCCUGCCAGCCACGGUAUUCGGGAAAUUCAAUUCACUUGUAAUUGAAUCCCCAGCGCAACACUCCAAGUGAUGGCAGAGACUUUCACGCAGACACCAAGACCACCAGACAUGACAUCCUGGGUCAGUCCUGCAGACCCUUCACUGCUUCUUGGAGGGUCCCAUGAAUACUUUGAGGACUACCAGGUGAUAUAAUCUCUGCCACCCCAGCCAGAAGGAUGACUCUGAAAUGUCAUUUCCCCAACAAUUCUCCUUUUUUCAUUGAGGCUUUUUUCAAGUCUUUGAAGCAUUAUUAAAUGAUCCUACUAUUGAUUUUCCGUGCCUCAGUCCUGGUGAAAAUGGAGUGACUUGGACCACUAAUGACUGAAGUCCACUCAUCGUCUGAAGGACAAUCACAAAGGCUGGAGCUCAUUCCUGCAAGCAUCCUCAUAACUUAGAUUUCAACGCCUGGAAAUAGGACAGGUAUGGUAAUCCUGAAGUAUUUGGGAGUGAAAUGUCAAGAUGUCUACAACUGUAAAAUGGUUCAGCAUAAAGGAUGAGCAGAGAGAAAGCAAGUAGGGGGCAGGCUCUGGGGGCAGAGUCUGUAGGUCUGAAUUGUGUCUUGCCCACUUAUUGAUUGUAGUUUGGGUAAUUAAUCUCUCUCUACCUCAGCUUAAUUAUCUGUGAAAUGGAAGUAAUGGUGGUAUAUAUUCAAUAGAGAUGUUGUGAGCAUUAAAUGAGGUAAUUCACGUAAAAUACUUACAGUGGUCACUGCUUUGUCAUAAGCCUUCAAUAAAUGUUAUUACCUCUGUUGGCUCCAUUUUGUAGUUGAUGUAAGUUGAGACUCAGAAAGGUGAUAUAACUUGUUCAGUCACAUAACUGGCUAUUGGUGGUUGGAGCUAAAAGAGCUGGAGCUGUCAGGAAGCUCUCCUACUAGUAAACAGCAACACACACACAGCAGCCCUGUUUACAAGAGCAAAUAUUUGAGACAAUCCAAGUGCCCAUCUACUGUAGAAUGGAUUGCUAAAUUAUGUUACAUUUCCCUACUAGAACCCUAUACAGCCAGGGAAAGGAAUAAGACAAAUUAACAUGAAGAGUAUCAAAAAAUUGAAAUAAGUUAAAAGCUUUUAUUUUAUCCUUAAAGAUUUUAGCUGCUCUAGCAACAAAAGGACUGAUUAACUCACUAAAACUACCAUGAAGGGCUUCCCUGGUGGUGCAGUGGUUGAGAGUUCGCCUGCCGAUGCA